rnacentral:misc_RNA from 1 species
ACGUGGUCGUAGGUCUACUUUCAGUUCGUGUACAGCAGGACGGCGGUGUUGGUCUAGAUAGCAGCAUGGAGAAUAACGGGCUUCCUGAACUGAUUCCAUGCCUUGAUGUCAAGGAUCCACAGUUUGAUGGCGUUGUCGUGGUAACAGAUAGCGUGACCAAAUUAUCAGGUGUCAAUAACAACCUGGAGUGUUUAAAGGCUCCACUGGAAAGUUAUAGUCAGGUGGAUUCAUCGUUUGGUAAGGAAGUAACCCUGGUUGAUACCGACGUUAUACCUUCAAGGCGGUUGAUCUUUUCUCCAACUGGACCUCUGAACCGGGACUACGAUGAUGUGAGACGAUUUGCUGAUGCUGGGACGAAAGGCAUCCAAAGGGCACUAAAAGCUGGAUGUAAACGCCCCCUACUGGUGAGACCUAUAGACAGUAGUUUCCCGAAGGCUGGCAGCGUUACAACCCUCGCUGUACUCCAGGCUGUCUAUGUGCCCCUGGAGAUACGAGAGGAUGUCCCAGACAAGAGUCCUAAAAUCUCCAAACUUGGGGUUUGGUGCAAUGACCUUGAGCGUGUAACCCAGGGCAUCGACCUUGCCAAUGCUUUGGAGAAAGGCAGGAUCGUGACACGUGACAUUGGUGGCUCGGAUCCGGAACGCAUGGCAGCCCCGCGUGUGGAGGAGUAUGUCACUUCACUGUUCAGGAACUCAUCAGUCAAGGUGACGGUUCACGCUGAUGAUGGUCAGUUUCAAAAUGAGUAUCCACUACUGGCCGCAGUCAACAGGGCCGCUAACAAAGUAGACAGACACCGUGGUCGCCUGAUCUUCCUUGAGUAUAAAGGGGAAGGCAAGGUGGAGAAAACCCUGUUUUUAGUGGGAAAGGGGAUCACCUAUGACACUGGUGGAGCUGAUAUCAAGGCCGGAGGUGUGAUGGCUGGCAUGCACAGGGACAAAUGUGGUGCAGCCACUGUGGCAGGAUUCUUCGAGACAUUAUCGGAAAUGAAGCCAAAGGGAAUCAAAGUUAUAGGAGCACUCUGCAUGGUUAGAAACAGCGUGGGAUCAGAGUGUUACGUGGCAGAUGAAAUCAUCACCUCCAGGGCUGGGGUGAGAGUUCGUGUGGGCAACACUGAUGCUGAAGGUCGUAUGGUGAUGGCUGAUGUACUGUGUAAAUGUAAGGAAAUGGCUCUUGAUGCUACAAACCCAGAACUGUUCACCAUAGCAACACUGACCGGCCAUGCUAUCCGAGCCAUGGGGCCAAAAUAUUCAAUUAUCAUGGACAAUGGACCAGCUCGUCAGCUCAACACUGCUCGCAGCAUGCAGGAGAUCGGGGAUGUCUGGGGUGACCCCUUCGAAGUCUCAACUAUCCGACGUGAAGAUUUUGAGUUCCACACCGGAAAGUCUGAGUAUGAAGAUAUACUCCAGUCAAACAACAUGGCGUCCUCAGCCACAGCCCGAGGACACCAGUCGCCUUCAGCCUUCCUCAUCAUGUCCUCUGGACUAAGCAAGCAUGGUGUGGACUCGGACAAGCCACUUCCCUACUCCCAUCUGGACAUUGCUGGAUCCUCUGGCCCCUUCCCAGGAGUCCCCACUGCUGCACCCCUAGUUGCCAUGGCAGCCAAGUACAUUGUUCCGAGGAUGUGAUUGCUUUUUGGACCAGUUAACUACACUUGACAUGGGAUUUUGUUACAGGAACUGUCAGACUCCUAUUAUUGUAAAACGUUGUUCACAAGGUACAUGGGGUUUUGUAACAGGAACUGUCAGACUCCUAUUAUUGUAAAACGUUGUUCACAAGGUACAUGGGAUUUUGUUACAGGAACUGUCAGACUCCUAUUAUUGUAAAACGUUGUUCACAAGGUACAUGGGAUUUUGUUACAGGAACUGUCAGACUCCUAUUAUUGUAAAACGUUGUUCACAAGGUACAUGGGAUUUUGUUACAGGAACUGUCAGACUCCUAUUAUUGUAAAACGUUGUUCACAAGGUACAUGGGAUUUUGUUACAGGAACUGUCAGACUCCUAUUAUUGUAAAACGUUGUUCACAAGGUACAUGGGAUUUUGUUACAGGAACUGUCAGACUCCUAUUAUUGUAAAACGUUGUUCACAAGGGACAAGGUUGAUU